rnacentral:rRNA from 1 species
CAAGUCGUGGGGCAGCGCGGGUAGCAAUACCUGGCGGCGACCGGCAAACGGGUGCGGAACACGUACGGAACCUUCCUUUAAGCGGGGAAUAGCCCAGGGAAACUUGGAUUAAUACCCCAUAAGAUCAUAGGGUGGCAUCAUCCAGUGAUUAAAGCUACGGCACUUAAAGAUGGGCGUGCGGCUGAUUAGGUAGUUGGCGGGGUAACGGCCCACCAAGCCGACGAUCAGUAACUGGUGUGAGAGCACGACCAGUCACACGGGCACUGAGACACGGGCCCGACUCCUACGGGAGGCAGCAGUAAGGAAUAUUGGUCAAUGGACGCAAGUCUGAACCAGCCAUGCCGCGUGGAGGAUGAAGGCCCUCUGGGUUGUAAACUUCUUUUAUCUGGGAAGAAACCGGACUUUUCUAAGGCCGUUGACGGUACCAGAUGAAUAAGCACCGGCUAACUCCGUGCCAGCAGCCGCGGUAAUACGGAGGGUGCAAGCGUUAUCCGGAUUCACUGGGUUUAAAGGGUGCGUAGGUGGGCAGGUAAGUCAGUGGUGAAAUCUCCGGGCUUAACCCGGAAACUGCCGUUGAUACUAUCUGUCUUGAAUGUAGUGGAGGUGAGCGGAAUAUGUCAUGUAGCGGUGAAAUGCUUAGAUAUGACAUAGAACAUCGAUUGCGAAGGCAGCUCGCUACACUAUGAUUGACACUGAGGCACGAAAGCGUGGGGAUCAAACAGGAUUAGAUACCCUGGUAGUCCACGCCCUAAACGAUGGAUACUCGACAUCAGCGAUAAACUGUUGGUGUCUGAGCGAAA